GUUGCCAUCAUUCAGUUGGGCGACUCUAGAGGGACGUGCCGGUGUCAAACCGGAGGAAGGUGGGGAUGACGUCAAGUCCUCAUGGCCUUAUGCCCAGGGCUACACACGUGCUACAAUGGGCGGUACAAAGAGCAGCGAGCUCGCGAGAGUAAGCAAAUCUCAAAAAGCCGUCCUCAGUUCGGAUUGGAGUCUGCAACUCGACUCCAUGAAGUUGGAAUCGCUAGUAAUCGCGGAUCAGCAUGCCCGCGGUCGAAUACGUUCCGGGCCUU
rnacentral:rRNA from 1 species